GCUUAGACAACUAGGAUGUUGGCUCAGAAGCAGCCACCAUUUAAUGAGUGCGUAAUAGCUCACUAGUCGAGUCACUCUGCGCCGAAAAUGUACCGGGGCUAAAUACACCACCGAAGCUGCGAAUUGAUACCAAUGGUAUCAGUGGUAGGCGAGCGUUCUAAGUGCAGUCAAGUCAGACCGCAAGGACUGGUGGAGCGCUUAGAAGUGAGAAUGCCGGUAUGAGUAGCGA
rnacentral:rRNA from 1 species